GAGAAACGGCUACCACAUCCAAGGAAGGCAGCAGCGCGCAAAUUACCCAAUCCCGGAACGGGGAGGUAGUGACGAAAAAUAACAAUACGGGACUCUUUUGAGACCCCGUAAUUGGAAUGAGCACAUUCUAAACUCUUUAGCGAUUAUCAAUUGGAGGGCAAGCCAAGUGCCAGCAGCCGCGGUAACACUUGCUCCAAUAGCGUAUAUUAAAGUUGUUGCGGUUAAAAAGCUCGUAGUUGGAUCUCAGUUCUAGUCGGGCGGUCCGCCUAACGGCGAUAACUGCCCGUUCUGAACAAGCCAGCCGGUUUCCCUUGAUGAUCUUCACCGGUUGUCUCGGUUGACCGGCACUUUCACUUUGAAUAAAUUAGAGUGCUCAAAGCAGGUUGGCAGGCCUGUACAAUGGUGCAUGGAAUGAUGGAAUAGGACCUCGGUUCUAUUUUGUUGGUUUUCGGAACACGAGGUAAUGAUUAAGAGGGACAGACGGGGGCAUUCGUAUUGCGACGUUAGAGGUGAAAUUCUUGGACCGUCGCAAGACGAACUACUGCGAAAGCAUUUGCCAAGAAUGUUUCCAUUAAUCAAGAACGAAAGUUAGAGGUUCGAAGGCGAUCAGAUACCGCCCUAGUUCUAACCAUAAACGAUGCCAGCCAGCGAUCCGGCUGUGUUCCUCAAAUGACACGCCGGGCAGCUUCCGGGAAACCAAAGCUUUUGGGUUCCGGGGGAAGUAUGGUUGCAAAACUUAAACUUAAAGGAAUUGACGGAGGGUCACCACCAGGCAUGGAGCUUGCGGUUCAAUUUGACUCAACGCAGCGAACCCUUCCAGGUCAGGACACAGGGAGGAUUGACAGAUUAAGAGCUCUUUCUUGAUUUUGUGGGUAGUGGUGCAUGGCCGC
rnacentral:rRNA from 1 species